CCCUGACCCUCAAGCAGCUACUGUAUUUGACCAGCUCACACCAGCUAGGCCUCCUCCAAAACUCAGAUAAAUAUUUGAGCCACCAAAACAAAACGAGAACAGAUCGGUCUGAAUCGUUAAGAACUGAAGCUAACAUCAUAGAGGUACAUCCUUCCAAGAAUCCAUCAAAACAACAUGCUGAACAACUUCAAGAACUCUCUUCAAAAGACCACACUUUCCUGAAAUAAAUAAAAGAUGCCAAUAUUAAAAUAAAUCAGUUACAUGUAUUGUUAAAUAUUUUAAUACUAGCUGUAAAUGCUACUGCCUUUGAUGUUUGCUUUCUACAUGUAUAUCAUAAUGAAAUAUUGACAAGAUAAUAGCUAAUGUUU